AGCUUUGUGCAGUGGUAGUAUUGUAGCCCGUGAGGUUAAACCGAGACGUGAUUAUUGUUAGUUGAAAACUUUAUCCAAUACCCCGCUGCACUGGCUUGAAAGAGUCUGUGUUAGCAAUUUUUGUCAGUAUCUGCAGAGA
rnacentral:snRNA from 1 species